GCUGAUCCCGGGCCUGAGGCCGAGGGGAAAGGCCGGGGGCAGGAAUCACAAUUGCAGGAGUACCGGUGGAAGUCUGAGUGCUUUCCUGGGGUCAGAAAUAUUGUGAGAGAUGAGGUAUUAAAUGAACCAGUUAAAAACCUCAAGUGGGUUUAGCUUUAACUUUUAACCCAUUCCAAGUGGGUUUUCAUGCCUUCGUGAUUGCUGUACUUAAAUUACCAGGUAUACCUCUCAUUUCAGCAGACACUUUGCUAAGUUUUCAAAUAAUGUUUAAUUUAUAUUCUGUUUCUUUUAAACUACGUGCUGCAGAGCAAUAACAAAAAUUUAGGACAACUUCUUUUCAAAACAGAACCAAACCAGGUAGCCUACUCUUAGAAAAGCUGAAAAAACUGAAAUACUGGGAGCUAAGCAGCUUGCAAAAAGUGUGCUAGUUAGAGCUUUGUAACAUGGACAUAAACAUAAAGUUUCAUGUGCCUUUCUUAUAUUACCAAGUAGUAUGUUUUAAAACUCUAGUUUGCCCUGGAGUUGUGAAAAACAUUAAAUAUGUUGCCAAUUGAAAAUGUGACUGUUCACUUUAAGUGUCACCUGUAAAUUAAAAAUUAUAUAGAAAAUCAAACUGAAAAGAGAAAUUCAUUAAAUUGAAAUAAGCCCAAGUGAAUAAGUGCAAUAUCUCACUCAAAUGAAAAAGCAUAGGGCAAGAGCUUGUUUUCUGGAGACUUUUUGUCCUCCCUAUGUAGCUUUUUUGUCCGACAUUUCUAAAUGGCAUAAAUGCUUACAAGUUCUGGGUAUUUUCAAUUACUAUUGUUAGACAGAAAACCAGCUUCAGUUUCUUCAAACCUUAUUUCAUUGAAUGUGUCUGAGUCAUAGGAAAAGUCAUUCCAUCAUGUCUAGAAACUGUUUUUACUCAGAGCACUUGUCAGGAAAGAAAAUAAACAAGUAUUAGUUCCUGCCACCAUUCAUUUCAGAACAGUUACAACCAAUAUAAUUAGGUCUCGGAUUUUUUUUUUUUUUAAAAAGGUCUGAAUGAAAAGAUAUAAGAUUAUAUAUGUCAGUUGCUGAACAUUUGGCAUGAACAGCUUUUCCAACACUUGCUCUGGUUAUUAUAAGGUUCGAGUUGUAAAUGACUGCAUUCAGCAGCAAACCUGUCAGGUUGGAGAGCUUUUCAUUAAAUGUUUGAUCUAGAAUUUUUUAAUCAGUGCACAAAUAAAACAAAUUAUUAAAGCUCUACAUCAGCUGCAGUAUGUGUAAUUGGGAUGAACGGGGUGAUGUAACUGGUGGGGAACAGCACAAGCAUUCUUGACUGAAGGCCUGGAGCUACAGAACUUGUUACCAUUGGAGAUGAAACAGAGCCUCAGUCUUAACCUGUAUCUUGAAAAUGGUAAGAUACAACUAUUAAAGACAUUCCCAAAUAACCUGGUGAUAAAUCAUGUACCUUGCAGGGCUUUGUUGGAGAAGCUGGGGAGGGAUCACCUUCUAGAGUACUUUGUGUUUCUGUGGGGAUGGAGUGUUUACUGAAAGCACGUGAGAUUUUAUUUAUAAAAGGAAAAAUAAGCAUUUUGUAUUCUUAAGCUUUUUACUGCUGCCCUCUGUCUUAAGGAUCUUUAGGAAGUUAUUGAAUAUAAACUACUUUGUGAUUUUAGUGCAUUAAUCAGGAGUAGUAGUUGUAACUGGGCUGAAAUCAAUGGACCUACUAUGUCUUCAGUAGUUGAGAUAUCGAUACAAGUUAUAACAACAUUUUAGCUUAAAAACGGGAGGUUUUUUAUCUUGUUUGGUUAGUGAAAUUGCUAAAAAUACCAGAAAUGAGCUGUUGCAAGUAGAAUAACAAUGAAAAAGGCAGCUAAUUUAGAUUAAAAGCCAAUGCCACAUAACAAUCAGAUACAAAUUUUAGGGUGUUUUUGUUUAAUACUUAUAUCUAGACUAAGAUAAAACAUUUUUAGUUUUUAAGUUUUGCUUCUGUAGUUUUAGAGUUUAAGUUAAGACAGAAUACAAAUGCGGGGACUAAUGUUUUGCUUAGAAGUCUGCAGUAAAGCUAAAGUUUCACAGCUGAGAAAUCUGCCUUUUGUCUCUCCAUCAGAGAGUGUUGCUGCAGGUUUGUGUGCUUGAAGUCAGCAGCUGAGGUAUUUUUGUUAAAGAGAACCAGCUCUAUCGCUGUCUGGCCAUUUGAUUUCCAUUCUAGCCCUGUGAUCUUUACAGCACUGUUUAUUUCAUGCUACCUUGCACUGAGCGUCAUCGGAUCUUCUGGCAAGGGUUGCGUCGUUUUUCUUUCCUGACAUUCGCUAUUUAUCUUCGCUACUGAAACAAUACUUGAAACCCUUUAGAGGGCGUUGUGAGACUUUUAUGCUGAAAAAUAUUCCAGGGAUUCACUUUUAUUCUUAUGCUUACAACUGAGAUAUGUAACUUUCAGCAGAAGGAGUUAAUUUCCUGUCUCAUUCAGCAUCAGUGUUCUUAGGCUGAAGGCAUCGACACAUUUUCUUCUCUGUGAACUGCUCAAACACCAGGGAUUAAAGUGAGCAUAGAACAAAACAAAGCUGCAUCUCGGUGCUCCUUUUCACAUUCCUAUUCAGAGAUCAGAGUGGUCGCCAUAUAACAGAGAGAAGGACUGCAACUCAUUUCAAGAGUCUUUCCUCGGGCCCUGAGACUCAUAUCAGGAACCCAAAACCUCUCUGGCUCUGCUGUCAGCGAAAACCAAGGUGAGUCUCAUUGAGAAAACUGGAGAAAACUCUUAUUGCAAUCCCAGGAAAACCCAUUGAUCAGCCACAGUGCCAGCUGCAUGUCUGUGAGAAGUGUGAGUACAUAAAUUGUACGAUGAAACCUCAAUGAGAGAUGCAGAGCUGUUUCCUGCACUUAAAUCUUUUUGUAAUGGCCUUAAAAACUGCUGUGAUUGUGUAUGCUAAAACCCUUCCUUUGAGACAGAAAUAACUGCAAUUAUUAAUUUAGUCAUCUGUGUAGUUUAUAAUUCCAGGACGUUUAGAGGUAAGGCACUUUGCACUCAAUAUGCAAUUUCCAAAGGUAAUACCUGACAAAACGAAGGCUUACAGUGACAGCAUCAUUGAGCUUUAUCCUAAGGAGUUAAAUGAGUUCAAAACCUAUCAUCAGUCACUGAUAGGAUUUGCUUCUAUCUGCCUAAAUCCUGCAUAAAGUGCCAGUGAAUUGUUAAAAGCUAAAGAUGAUAAUUAGACAGCCUAAUAUAAACCUGCAAAAGAAUGGUAUUAUUAGGAGUAAAGUGCUGUAUUAUUGCCAUUUGUAAAGUAGUUCCCGAUUUUGGCAGUACGUGUUGUAUUACUCUCUCCUCUCUUAAUGGAAUAUCGGAGAAAAACCAAACUGAGCAAGCCAUUGCAGAUGCCGAGACCCUCAAAACACUGAGCUUUCCUCAUGAGACAUUCCAGGCUUAGGUGCUAAAACACUGCAUCAGAAUUAAGUCAUACCUCCUGGCAUGAAUCAGCUGCUAAAUCCAGUUCAGUCGUGUAUCUCUGAUACAAGUUCCUCCUGGACAACUGCAGUGUGGAGUAAGGUGCCAAAGGAACCUCCAGACCCAGGUGCUAGAGGCACCGCUGAG